CAUGCAAGUAGAACGCUGAAGGGAGAGCUUGCUCUUCUGGAUGAGUUGCGAACGGGUGAGUAACGCGUAGGUAACCUGCCUGGUAGCGGGGGAUAACUAUUGGAAACGAUAGCUAAUACCGCAUAAGAGUAGAUGUUGCAUGACAUUUGCUUAAAAGGUGCAAUUGCAUCACUACCAGAUGGACCUGCGUUGUAUUAGCUAGUUGGUGGGGUAACGGCUCACCAAGGCGACGAUACAUAGCCGACCUGAGAGGGUGAUCGGCCACACUGGGACUGAGACACGGCCCAGACUCCUACGGGAGGCAGCAGUAGGGAAUCUUCGGCAAUGGACGGAAGUCUGACCGAGCAACGCCGCGUGAGUGAAGAAGGUUUUCGGAUCGUAAAGCUCUGUUGUAAGAGAAGAACGAGUGUGAGAGUGGAAAGUUCACACUGUGACGGUAUCUUACCAGAAAGGGACGGCUAACUACGUGCCAGCAGCCGCGGUAAUACGUAGGUCCCGAGCGUUGUCCGGAUUUAUUGGGCGUAAAGCGAGCGCAGGCGGUUAGAUAAGUCUGAAGUUAAAGGCUGUGGCUUAACCAUAGUACGCUUUGGAAACUGUUUAACUUGAGUGCAAGAGGGGAGAGUGGAAUUCCAUGCGUAGCGGUGAAAUGCGUAGAUAUAUGGAGGA
rnacentral:rRNA from 1 species